GACGAACGCUGGCGGCGUGCCUAAUACAUGCAAGUAGAACGCUGAAGGAGGAGCUUGCUUCUCUGGAUGAGUUGCGAACGGGUGAGUAACGCGUAGGUAACCUGCCUGGUAGCGGGGGAUAACUAUUGGAAACGAUAGCUAAUACCGCAUAAGAGUAGAUGUUGCAUGACAUUUGCUUAAAAGGUGCACUUGCAUCACUACCAGAUGGACCUGAGUUGUAUUAGCUAGUUGGUGGGGUAACGGCUCACCAAGGCGACGAUACAUAGCCGACCUGAGAGGGUGAUCGGCCACACUGGGACUGAGACACGGCCCAGACUCCUACGGGAGGCAGCAGUAGGGAAUCUUCGGCAAUGGACGGAAGUCUGACCGAGCAACGCCGCGUGAGUGAAGAAGGUUUUCGGAUCGUAAAGCUCUGUUGUAAGAGAAGAACGAGUGUGAGAGUGGAAAGUUCACACUGUGACGGUAGCUUACCAGAAAGGGACGGCUAACUACGUG
rnacentral:rRNA from 1 species